GGCGGGCAGGAGGUAGCCCCUGGGCAGGGGCCUAGAGUGGGGGGCGCCGGGAUCCUCCGAAGGCCUUCGGCGGGCGGGGGUUUGUCAGGCCUCCUCACGGCGACGAGGUACUUGCUUGCACCUUGUAUGAGCGUCCAGGCGCCUUUGCACAGGACAGGGGCAGUAGAGGUGUUCUGUGGGCAGCUUGUCUGUGUCCUGUGUGGGAUGGUGAACAGCAUCCCACUGGAUAGAGUACAGGAGGCUGCCAGAAACCAGGGCUACUUGGAUUUUUUUUCUCAGGAUUUUAAGAAGGUCAGGGCCCAUUAAGUGCUGUCAGUUCACUGGGGAACUUGGGCAUGUUGGUGCUUCUUGAACUGGGAUUAUGCUGGAGAAUUUCUGGAUAAUUGUUUUGAGAUUUUGGUAAGGCUCCUGUUCAUAUAAAUGCUGUAAAGGAAGAGUUAUCUUGUAUUUUCGCCAUAGUAUUUUUUUUUCCUUUUAACUGAGGAUUUGCUAUGGAUCCUCGAGUCGGCAGACAUUCUCCCUUUUCUCUUACAGAGGGAAACCGCAGUGGUUGGAACAAAAUAUGAUGUUUUUGUUUGCCUAAACAAAGAAAAAGACAUUCCUUAGCUUUAAAUAAGGGGACUCUUUAUUGGUCACUUGCACAGUGUCUUAUGCACCCGAGGGAGUGUAUUUAUAGUCAUACUUCUAGGCCUUCUCUGUAUACAAGAGUUGUGCAGCUUCAGCUAUACCUGUGCAGUUAAAAGUUGUACUUUCUGUGGCAGCUGUAUUGUCUUAGGAUGGGUGUAGGAGGGAAUUUUAAGAUCUACUGGUGCAUACUUAGUGGUAUAAAGAUAUCUUAUACCUGCAGUUAAUAUUAUUCUGGCCAGCAGUGUUAAAAGAGUAUUAAAAAAAAAAAGUCACCUUUAACUGGUGGAGUUAUAAUUGAGUUAUGUUGGCAUAAAAAUUCGGUUACGCAGAAUUUUAAUUAGUGGUGCCGUACUAGAUGGUGCCUCUAUAAUAAACUUGUCGCUAUGUUACUAGUAUAAUUUUUAAUUAAGUAGUUUGAUAUAGAUCUUCACUUGAUUUUUUCCUUUUUUUUUUUUUAAUGGGAGCUUGAAACUAAAGUCUGGAUGAAGUUCAGACCGUAGUGGUGUCUUACUGUAACCCUGUAGUUCUGGGACUGUCUCAAAUUGCACUUAUGCAUCCAUGUUACACAACUUUUUAUGAAGACUUUUUUCCAUAAAAAUCACCUAGCACUGUCUCGCAAUAUAUUAAGUGUAGGUAUGCAGAAUAAGUACACUGUUGGUGUUUUGUACAGACAGAUAUUAUUGCCUGGCUAUGUGAUUAGAAAUGUAAAUUGUACAGUACUCGAGCAAGUGGCAGGAUAACAGAAAUAGUGACGCAUGCUAUCCUCAGAAUAGCUUUUUGUGAGAAACAGCAGAAUGCUAUCAGCUUAAGUCUUCUUGGAAAUACUUCACUGAAAAACUAGCAGAUAAAUUCUGUGGAACAAUACUAUACUGAUAGAUUGGUAUUUAUCAGAUUGGAGGAAGUAUCUGAAUACUCUAGUCAUGGCCCUGGGCAUCGUUCUUAGCUCCUAUGCAAACAACUAUGUUCCAGGUUGUUCAUUGACUCCAACACCCAGGUGAAAGGAUGACAUAGACACUGAAGUGGGAUGAAAUGACAGCCUGCAGCUGAAGCAGUAGUAAAUGCAGUGCUCAGGUACACCACCCUGGCAGUAUUCCUUGGGUUGCUGAUAGCAAUCUGCCUCUUACCCACAUUCUCAUUUGAGCUGAGCAGCAUCUGUAGAAGUGCUCUCCUUCACCUUACCUUUUAGUAUGUUAUUGCUUUAUCUCACCACAAGGAUAAGUAAUGUGCCUGCGAAUCAAGACAGAGCAGCAAGCUGGUCCAUUGUACUCUCUGAGAAGAGCCACUACCUGUAGUAUUUUGAAUAAUUUAAUGAAUUUGGAACUAUGUGUGAUAGUCAAGGCAAGUGUGUGAGUAUCCUUUUAUUUAUCCAGAGCCAAAUGUUAACCUUAUCUCUGUUUGCAUUACCUAUUACAUCGUACAAUAUAGUCUCUGAAGAGUAUUUCUAUGCUGAUAAAUACAUAAUUUCCUACUGCAAACCUGAGGUGACAGGAAAUUGUAAAAAUUUAGUAUUACAAGAAUUUCAUGUCUGACGCUGUCUCCUGUAAUGGUAUUGUAGCUCAUGACAUUGUUAUGCAGUGUUUCACUCAACAAGCUGUUCUGUAAGGCUGUUUUUGUGGUGAAUAUUGAUGUCUAUAGCAGUUUGUUGGUAUUACAUGUUUUAGUUUUGGUUAUCCUGUAGUAAAACUUUAAGAUCCUUGGCAUUACGCUUAGGAUGGAGUAGUCAGAGUGCUAGGCAAGAUGGUGCAUGAUCUUGUUUCCUCUUCUAGCUUACCAGAGAAUCCUUUGAACUUAUACUGUAAAAUUGCUUUUAACUAGAGCCAUGAAAAAAAUUAUUCAGGAAUAUGAACUACUUUGAGAACAAGGUGUGAAAAGUAUUAUGUAGCUCUUGAUAUUUUACUUACGUUUUAUGGUGCCAAUGCAAAUAUAAGCUAUGAAUGCAGCUUCUGACCUGGACCAGAGUUAAGAAUGCUAAACAACUGACAGCUUUAUUUUUUACUUUUUUAAUAGAAUAAGGCCAGAUUUUUGGUGGUUUUUUUCACCUCUUGGGCUAAUAUGAAUGACCUAAAAAGACUGUUGCAACUACUGCAUUCUUCUAGGUAGCUUUAUAUUGAUGUUCUAAGAAAGACUUUCUGCUCAUACGCAAGUACUAAAAUUGUUUCGUCCACUAAAAAGAACAUUAGAGGGCAUAAAAAGCAACUUUGAUUUUAUUUUUUUCCUUAGAUUUUAUACAUCAGCAGACCUUGUAAAUCUUUGUUUUGCUCCGUUCCACUGCAGGCAAAUGGAUUUCACAUAACUUUGAAACAGAAGCUUAAAAAUUACGUAUCUUACUUUGUGUGCCCUCUUUUCAAGAAGCUGCUGUAGAAAAUAUAAAGUAGUUGAGUGACAUGUUUGGUUACAUUAUACAGAAACUGUGGCUAUUUACUUGAAUUGUUUUUGUCUUUACCUUGGAUUUUAUGACGGUUUUGGUAGUAUACAUGUAUGCCAUCACAGAUAAUGGAUUCAUAUGUAAUUCAGUGUAUUCAUGACUUCUGUUGUGAAUUUUUGUUUUCUUAGUAAACUAAUAAAAACACUCAUGAUUUUGCCAUUUAA